UGGGGAAUAUUGGACAAUGGGCGCAAGCCUGAUCCAGCCAUGCCGCGUGUGUGAAGAAGGCCUUCGGGUUGUAAACCUCUUUCGUAGAGGAGGAAGGGGCUGUGAAGAACAGUCCUUGACCUAUUCUAGGAAGAAGCUUGGGCUAAGUUCGUGCCAGCAGCCGCGGUAAGACGAACCAAGCGAACGUUAUUCGGAAUUACUGGGCUUAAAGCGCGUGUAGGCGGACUACCACGUUGGUUGAUGAAAUCC
rnacentral:rRNA from 1 species